UAAAACUGGUCUUCGCGAACGCGGUUAAACACCUGUCACGAACUGAACAACAAUGCACGUAUCUCUCUUUCUAUACCUUAACACCAACGCGGUUAAACACCAACCUUCUUCACGAUACCGGGGAAACCUACCUGUGAUCAUGGUCUUCGUCAGGUAAGGUACCCGUAGCGGAGGGAGCGUUGGGUCCGGUAGCUAGCAAGAUGUCUUGACAAUGCGGCGGGUCGACGGCACCACUGGCCAGUCUCUUCAAAUGAACCUCUAGGUGAAGCAUUGAGAACAAGUGUAUUACCUCGAGCAACUUCUCUUCUAAUCUCUUAAGUAGUUUUCGUUGCUUUCCCGCUUCACCUCUGGUCACUUGUUAGUAUUAUAUUUAUUGAAGUGUCUUCUACUCUAAUUUUACUAAUGGUUCUUGAUGUCUUUGGGGUAUCCGUUUCCACGGAAACCUCUUCAAAUGGCUCCGCAAGAACUACUACCAUCAUGUCAACGUCAGUUCUUUAUAUAGACGGUCUUAAACUUUCUGCCCAAACGAUUCCUCUAUUGACAAGUAACGGUUUAGUUGGUGUUCUUACAACAAUCCGAAAACCCGAUGACAAAUCUUCUUUUACGAAAUUACUACCAGUGACUCAUAUAGGGACCUCCUUUGGAGUUUCUAGAAGAGGUACCGUCGCUACUAGUGUAAAGAAAUCUACGUUCCAACCCAUAACGAUAUCUUACACGACUCCGUAAUCGUACGUACGUAAGUAACAGAGUUGGUUAGUAAGUACCACUAUAGUUUGGACUAUUGUAUGAAGAUCUACUCUUGACCCCACGUUUUAAUAGACUGAAACCUUAUAGUUCUAACGAAACGUACCUGCCUUGACUAAUGUGGUACGUGCAUCGUCCUUCGUCUCCAAUGUACCUAGGUCUCGAGAAACUUUGACCUGCGCAGCUAGGAUCUUUACUACAAAUGUCAAAGCCCCAACAAUACCAUCUUGAACAAUGGUCUCGUUUCCAUUUACUCUUACCGUACUCAUGGCCUCAGUGCUCUUUGAAGUGAGUUCGAUAACUUUUCCCCUUUUGUCGUUCUUGCUACAAACUAUGAUUUUAUCGUUCGCACUCGUUGUACUUUCAAGACAUGUUCUAUCCCUUCGAACGUCGACUUACAGAGUCUUCCCUAUAUUUUUUAGCGGGACUUUACUUCCUACAAUGUCUUGCAGAGGCCCGAGAAUCUUUUCGAAUGACGGUCGUUCUAGUUCUUUUUUGUCCAGUCACCAGUUACUUUUUACACUUGGCUUUUCCUGUUUCGUAAAGGCCAAGAUUCAGAUGAUACGACAUGUUCGACUUGUUAAACCCGUACAAAUCAUAAACCUUGCGUGCGUCCUUAAAGUACUCCUUACGUCCAGGCUGUCAUCUGGUUUAUGUUUUGGACUCCCAAAAGUGUUUUCUUCUUUAUUCUUUUUAGUGGUUACCAAUAAGUAGUCUACAUUAACGGUUCACGAGUAGAACACUCCAGAUGUCUCCCUGAGAACUCCUGUUGUUUAACCACCCGCACUUAUAUCUCUGACACUACCAUCUACUUCGGGUAUCACUUGUGAAAUAUUUAUCGUACGAGUAGAUAAGAUGGUAAGAGGUAUUAUUGUACCAGUUUGAUAACCCAACAAUGGACCUCCGCCUACAGGGUUAUAACCACGUACUCAAGCGACGUUUACCCUUAGAGGUCCUGUAGGAAGCACCGUUGAUGUCGAAGGGCGAACCAUAUGCAGAUCUGUAGCGUCAACCUACGCGCCUUCGCAAUCGUAUAGACGUAAGUUUUAGGAAACGUAAACACCCACGAUUGUAGUGUGGGCGGUUGUAUGACGAUCUACUGUCAAACCAUGGUUUCCAGAGCCCCGAAGAGAAGUAUACAGUGCCGUAGUGAUCAUGUAGUUCGCUACAAAUGACGAAACCUUGAGAGGAGAACCUUGAAUAUUGGUCCUUUGUUCCUCCCAUAGCGUUGUUGUCGGGCGUCCUUGAAUCCUUUCGAAUGUACUUUCUUCCCGUGUGGUACAAACUGUUCCUCUAUCGCCGCUUCCGUUUGUACAAGUAUGAACUUUCCUAGGUCUACCAACGUUACCUGACAAACUUUGACCUACUUAAUCGCGCUGGCUUUUACCGUCUCCACCGUCUCGCCGAAGACUCCGAAUUUUUACAGCUUUCGUUCCCUUCGCUUGACGUCCUCGAGAGCUACAACUCCUCCAACCACCGAAGGUCAUAGUCGUUUCGAUCUCUUUUGUGAUGGGGCCGGUGGACUCGUCUUUGCAGCUUAAACACUAGUAAGUAAAAACAUUAAAUGAUGAGGUGCGAGAACAUGCACAUAGUGCGGUAUCACACAUAACAUGAUAGUUAAACCGUAACGACGAAUCCGGCCGUAACUCUCGAAGGGAAGGUCGUUAUUAGGGGGCGGUUCAUCGGCUCCGACCCGAACCUCGGUAGCGAACGUAUUUUAGUUGGAGACCUUUUUAUUGUGGGUAAGUCAUGAGAACGUCUGUUCCUUAAACCUAAACAGUUCUUUACGGUUUGUACAAAAGGUUCAUUUCGUUCCAAUUUGUCUACGUUCUGAGGGUUAGG
rnacentral:rRNA from 1 species